GUUAAGUUCCAGGACAGCCAGGGCUACAGAGAAAUCUUGCCUAAAAAAAAACCAAAAAACGAAAAGGAUAAAAAGGAAAGUUUGUUUGUGAUGUGACCAAGGAAAGUAAGGAGAAAGGAAGAAAGAGAAACAUUUUGUUCUAACUAGUCUCUGUAAAAUGCCUUUGCCUUGCCCUCAGUUAUAAAAUGAAUAGAGCUAUAAUGGGAUCUCAUUUCCAGGAGACCAUAAAGUUUAACGUGGUCUCAAAUAUCUACCCUAUUUCUUGUAAUGCUACUUAACAUAUCCUCAACACAGCCAUUCUUUCUUUUAAAUAAACAGAAUAUUUAAAAUAUCAAAAAAAAACUCAAAAUGUGAAUUAGAAAGAAAUUGUAACCUUGGGCUUGGGCUGUUGUAGCUUCAUGGUAAAAUGCUUAUUUAGUGUGCCCAAGGCCAAGUUCCUUUCUCAGACCACAGCCAAAAAAAAGAAAGAAAGAAAGAAAGAAAGAAAAAGGAAAAUGAAAAUGAAAGCAUGUAGGAUGUGUAUGUGUGUGAAAAUGCUGCUACGUCUCUCUUACAACCACACUGUUCUCCUGACAAACGGUUCAGAGCCUAGUUUAACAAGCCCUUGACCCCAACACUUUAGCUUAACCUUUUAACCAAAUUGCUGCCUAGCUUUAAAAAAAAAAAAAGUAUUUUACUCAUGUCAAAAUCCAGUAAAUAUAUACACUACAAAUAUAUAGAUCAUGAUGCACAGCUUUACAAAAUGAACACAUGUGGAAAGUCAGCAUGUAAACACAGAUACUGAAUGUUAAUGAGAGCUCAGAAUAUUGCUAACAACCUAUGGUUUCCCAGUCAUUUUAUUCCCCCUGUAAAUGCAGUGCAGUCAAUGUAUUCUACCUCUACCAUCUAAUAUUAACUUUGUUUAUUUUUUAACUUAAUGUACAAUGAUACGAGUGUGUCAUUACACAUAUAUUGAAUGUUACUUUCUAGAUCUGCCUUGAAUGUACGCAAAUUCGAAAAAAGGAGGCCUGUAUGCCACAGACGAAAAGUAGCCAUUUUUUCCUAUGCUCACCUUAUAGGAGCCUAACAAACCAAACAGCCACAGCUACAUGUACAUGCUCAGAUCUUUCUUAGAUAAAGAAAAGACUAUUUAGACUAGAACGAUCAACUCUAAAUGCCUUCCUGUGCUAUACUAGUAUUUACAGUUGUGACAUUCCACAAUCCUGGGCAAGUCACAACAGGAGGGUAAAGAAGCAAAAUGCAAGCAAAUUUGCAUACUUUAGAAUUAACACGAAAUCCCAUGCUUGUUCUUAAGGGGUCAAUCCUGUAAACUGGCUACCAUUAGCUGAUUUACAAAAUAAAAUACUAAACUAUAUGAGCAAAUACAAUUAGCAGGCUAUUAAAUAUCUGCUUCAGAAGCAAUCGUUUGCCAGAUGGUAGCUUCUUUGGGAAAAAAAGAAAACUCUUAAUUCAUUUUCAGUAUUUAUGUAGUGUGCAGUCCUCACAGUGGGUAUGUAGUAAGUGCUGCAUUUGGUUUGGGAGCAUUUCCCCUAUGUGCAAGGUACUAUGAGGUGCCAGAGACCCUAAUGGUUAGCUUAUGUUUAAAUGGAAUGAACAGGUUCUGUUACAGUGUAGCAAGGCGUGGUUAAGGGGCUGUAACUGCCUGUUCCCAUCAGAGAUUUCCCAGCAGCAGCACUGUCCCCUGGCAUGCCCACUACUCUUUCUCUUCCAUGCUCUGGUGCUCCAUAGAGCUCCAUCAUGUGACUUUUUCUGUUCAGCAAAAGGAGCACACUCCAGAAUCUUUUGGUCAUAAAAAUAUGGUUAACAAGACAGUAAGUCUACUGCACUUCAAAAGUUUUGAAAUCUGGAAUUCUGAGUAGCAGGAACAAGACUGAAUUGAAAACAUCUGACUUUGUUUAGCUGGCUUCAAUUUUUCUCUAAGAGAAACAGGAAAAAUUAUGUAAAUAAUUUUUUUACAUAUUUUGCCUGUAUGUAAAUGAGCAAUUCCAUACUCAAAAACUACUCUGGGGAAGAGUCUAUGACACAGCAAAUGGAUGGGAUAUAGCACAUGGAAUAUCUAAAUAGACCCAUGCAAAGAGCAGGACACACAUGGGAAGUACAAUUAUACAAGCUGUGAACUACUGCCCUGUAUUACUAGUCUGAAGAAUUUACUCAGAAUAGUAAGGACUUGGGAAUUAACCAGAGGAAACAUUUGGAAGUGCAUCAAAGGCAAACUAGCACCAUUACUUUGGAAAGCAGCAAUAUUUAUGACCCCUUAUUUUCCUUGUUCCAGUGAAAUAAAGGUGUGAUAUUGUGGCAAAUAUGGGGAGACAACAAGCUGUGGACUCUUGCAGACUUCAGCCUGCACUGAAAUGCAACACUGUGGGCUUUGGCAGCUACAGUAUGUACUCUGAAAUUCUUACAUCAUUACUCUGGAACCAUCACUGUCCAAUUCUACGUUACAAAGAAGACUGGCUGGCAGCAACACAGUACCUAAGCCAUUCCUACCAGAUGGAGACCAGAGGCCCAGAAAGACUUGGAAACAUUUACAUCUCUGUGAGUAAUACCUUGGUAUUCGAGGUAUAUCUAGAAAGGAAAGGAGGUAAGUGAAAUUAUAAUGGCUUAGUAAUUUCAGACAAAUUCGAAACCAGGUUAAAUUAAGAAUUAAUCAUUGAAUCCAAGUUAGGAAAAGUUCAGCUAUGUAACUGUCAAACAAGGUGGCCCUUAGCUUUUUAAAUCCUUUAGAGUCCAUCAUUGCGUAAGUCCAAUAGGCAAAUUCAUUUGGAUCCACUGUAAGGUUGCAGAAGUGACCCACUGAUUAAGAGUGCUUGUUGCAUGUACCUCCCAGACGUUGGGAGUUUGGUUCCCAGCAACAUCAGGUGGCUCAUAACCACUUGUAACUAUAGCUCCUCACAUGCUAUUGUUUUCUUCUUUUGAACUUCAUAGGCACCUGUUCAUGUGUAGUGUGUGCAUGUAAGCACACAGACAUUUAAAAAAAAUUAACAAUAACCAAUAAAGGGAAAGUAACCAAUGUGUACUUUAAUUGUGAAUGAUGAAACUAAAAUUAAAGGCUUAAGGGAAAUUGAAGGAGUAAGGACAAUAAAGACCUUUAAAAGAUAAAAAGUAGUUGAACGUGGCGGCAUAUGCCUUCUUUAAUGGUAUCUCUAAUUUAAUUGUAUCUCUAAAUUCCAGGCCAAUCUGGUCUACAGAUUGAGUUCAGGACAUCCAAGACUACCCAGAUAAACCCUAUCUCAGAAAAAAAAGGGGGA
rnacentral:sRNA from 1 species